AGAUCUUGCUGUCGUCAGCUGGCUGGUACCCAAAGUUCCUCUUCGUCAGGCUGUUCCUUCCCCGUUAGAGUCCUUCCUCCCCAGGAGCCCUCUCCAUCUGUUGACCUUCAAGACCCAGAGCAAAAUGCCACUUCAUCCAUGAAGCCUUCCCUUAACCCUUAUUCUGCCAAAAUGUCUCUUUCCUGUGCUUCUGUACUUUCACAAUUUUAGAAAAUGCCUUUGUGGUUAAAAACCUAUCUCCGGGACCGGACUAUCUAGGUUUAGAUUCUGGCUGCCGCUUACGAAUUUGGGCAGGUUUAGUCAAGUUAUUUUAACCUCUCUGUGGAAGUUCCUGCUCUGUGGAAAUAAUAGUAUUUUCCUCAGAGUUGGUGUGGGGAGUUUGUGAGUUAAUACAUAUACGAAGUGGUUAGUUGCAUGUAAGAAGGACUCUCUAAAUGUCAGCUAUUAUUAACAUUGCAUAUCUGCCACACCCCUCGUAGAUGGUAAACUGCUUUUUUUUUUUUUUUUUUUUUUACUUUUAUUUUAGGUUCGGGAUACAUGCACAGGUUUGUUUUAUAGGUAAAUUGCUUGUCAUGUGGGUUUGUUGUACAAAUUAUUUUGUCACCCAGAUAGUAAGCAUAGUACUUGACAGGUAUUUUUUCUGAUCCUCUCCCUCCUCCCACCCUCUAGCCUCAAGUAGGUCCCAGUGUCUGUUGUUCUCUUCUUUGUGUCCAUGUGUUCUCACUGUUUAGCUCCCACUUACAAGUCAGAACAUGCAGUAUUUGGUUUUCUCUUCCGCAUUAGUUCACUUAGGAUAAAGGCCUCCAGCUCCAUCCAUGUUGCUACAAAGGACAUGAUCUCUUUCUUUUUUAUGGCUGCAUAGUAGUCCAUGGUGUAUAUGUACUGUAUUUUCUUCAGUCUACUGGUGAUGGGCAUUUAGGUUGAUGCCAUGUCUUUACGAUUGUGAAUAGUGCUGCAGUGAACAUACAUGUACAUGUAUCUUUAUGGUAGAAUGAUUUAUAUUCUUUUGGGUAUAGACCCAAUACUGGGAUUGUUGGGUCGAAUGGUAAUUCUGUUUUAAGUUCUUUGAGAAAUCGCCACACCGCUUUCCGCAGUUACUGAACUAAUUUACAUUCCCACCAGCAUUGUAUAAGCAUUCCCUUUUCUCCACAACCUCACCAGAAACCAGCAUCUGUUAUUUCUUGACUUUUAUUAAUAGCCAUUCUGACUGGUGUGAGAUGAUAUCUCAUUGUAGUUUUGAUUUGGGUUUCUCUAGUGAUUAGUGAUGUUGAGUAUUUUAUAUGCUUGUUGGCCAUGUAGCUUCUUUUGGCUAGGGACCUGUGAGUCUCCCUAGGUUUCUUGCACUUACUAAGCCUUCAACAAAUGGUAGAAGAGUCAAUUCUCUUGGUGUUUCAGAAGAAAACAAUAUCACAGCCCCUCUCCACUGGAUAAUACUAUAAAUCUUAAAAUGAAUUUUCAUUCAGAGUAAUAAACACAAGCCAAAGAACUUUGUAUAACAUCCGUCAACUUUUUGUGUUAUCUAUUUCUUUUCCAAAACAUUGCCUCUGGUUUUAAAGGUAACUGCCCACAGUGUUUCACUAAUAACAUUUUAAGCAUUACAAGUUCAACACUGAAGGUCAAAUGACAACGAACUUUCAGUGCUUCCAAAAGCAGGGGCAGAGGGCAACUGCUGAGGGGGGCAUUGUAUAGCCUAACCUUCCCAGAAUUUGAUUUAAAAGUAUGAUCUUCACAGCGUUGGCCAGCAAUAUCAUGGUCACUCCCUACGUCAUUCCCUGGGAGAAAAACAACCCUAGGUUACCUAAACAAUGUUGGCGAAGACCAAAUAUUUAUUAACAUCCUAAGCAGCCCCAUAAUCAAGCCAAUGCUGAUAGGGACAAAGAAGGUGCCAUGUGCAGUUUUUCUCCAUGUCCCCACAAUAUCUGCUCUGAAUUUUAAAAGGCAAUUACUGGGGGAGAAGGAAGCCUAUAUAUUAUGUAGGAUCCAAGUCUCAAACUGCUUUCCUAGGGAGUGUGAGAUUCUUGGAGAUUAAGUGCAGUACCUUUCUGUCUUGAGCCUUGUAGGCUGCCCCUCUAAUUUAAUGCCAGUCUUGAAAUAAACAGAAUGCUUUCCAAGUCAUCGCUAAUUUUAACACUUUAAAUUUAGAAUUGCUUAGAAUUGACUCAACACUGCCUCCUUGCUGAAUGGAUAAUUCAAGCAAACAACUCAAGAGCUGGAUGCUGCCCAGACAGAAGUCCUCCUAGCAUCUUUCUUCUGCCUUCCCCUGCUCCUGUCCCUGAAACCUUUUCUUCAAAAGAAGUGGAAAAGAGGAACUGGGAACCCAUAUAGCAACAGCAUCACCUGGAAUGAAUUCCUUUAGAACAUACUGUCUUGGAAAUCUGAAGCCUGCAGGGCUGGACAGGCAAGAAGAGCAGUGAGCACUGCAUGAACCUUUCUCUCCUUCCCUCCCUUACGUAUGACUCCUCCCAUAAUCCGCACACAUGGACUGAACCAAGUGAGGGUAUUUUUCUGUUUCCUACCUCAUAGAAGGGCAUAGAGUGGACACGGUCUAAGGCGUGUACUCCGAAAUAUUUUUCAAAUGGAAAAGAAAACAGAGAACACAAUUUUCAAAAUAUCUAGAGCCCUCCAAGAAGUCUUUGUAGAGAUCUAUAAAAUCUCAAGGCAAUUUAAAGAGUCUUGCUGUGUCGCCCAAGCUGGAGUUCAGUGGCACCAUCCUGGCUCACUGCAACUGCUGCCUCCCAGGUUCAAGUGAUUCUCCUGCCUCAGCCUCCCGAGUAGCUGGGAUUACAUGUGCUUGCCACCACGCCUGGCAAAUUUUUGUAUUUUUAGUAGAAAUGGUGUUUUACCAUGUUGGCCAGGACUGGCCUAGAACUCCAGACCUCAAGUGAUCCACCCGCCUCAGCAUCCCAAAGUGGUGGGAUUACAGGCAUGAGCAACUGUGCCUGGCCUAGCCAUUUUCUAUAAACCUGAAAAUAGAUGCCAGAAAAGAAGGUGCCGCUAUGAAAUGCUUUCUUGAGUGAUUUAUGUCUAACAUACAAUUAAACAUUUAUGAGAAGGAAAUUAUCAGGUUAAAAUAUAAACUCACUUGCCAAUUAUUUGAUUUUCAGGAUAUCUGACUUUUGUUAAUUACUGAAAAUAAAGUAUUAUUUCUAAUCAC